CCUACGGGGGGCGGCAGUGAGGAAUAUUGGUCAAUGGACGCAAGUCUGAACCAGCCAUGUCGCGUGCAGGAUGACUGCCCUAUGGGUUGUAAACUGCUUUUGUAUGGGAAGAAAGGUAGCUACGUGUAGCUAUUUGCCGGUACCAUACGAAUAAGCAUCGGCUAACUCCGUGCCAGCAGCCGCGGUAAUACGGAGGAUGCGAGCGUUAUCCGGAUUUAUUGGGUUUAAAGGGUGCGUAGGCGGAAUGGUAAGUCAGUGGUGAAAGUCUGCAGCUCAACUGUAGUUGUGCCAUUGAUACUGUCAUUCUUGAGUAUAGAUGAGGUAGGCGGAAUGAGUAGUGUAGCGGUGAAAUGCAUAGAUAUUACUCAGAACACCAAUUGCGAAGGCAGCUUACUAAACUAAUACUGACGCUGAAGCACGAAAGCGUGGGUAUCAAACAGGAUUAGAUACCCUGGUAGUCCACGCCGUAAACGAUGAUUACUGGUUGUUUGCAAUACACCGCAAGCGACUGAGCGAAAGCAUUAAGUAAUCCACCUGGGGAGUACGUCGGCAACGAUGAAACUCAAAGGAAUUGACGG
rnacentral:rRNA from 1 species